ACGGGACAGGAGGGGAGCCCUGAGGGGAUUUGAGGGUGAGCCUGGACCGGGACCAGGACCAGGGACCGGGACCAGGGGUUGCCUCUUUCCCCGCCCGCAUCUCAGGGCUAACGGCUCCCCGCCUCACGUCCUCGCCUCAUGAGGCAGCCCCGCUCCCGCCGCGCUUCUCCUCAGGGAAGGGGGCGCCCCCUUCGCACCCCAACUUCGCAAAUCUAGGAUUUUUUAUUUUUUUUUUUUACCUCUAAACGUUAUCAUUCUUAUUUAUUUAUUUAUUUAUUUACUUAUUUACUUGUUAAGCUUAAAGACAAGCGAUCGGCCGCCUCAGGAUGCGCGUGACUCCUCAGCACCAGAGGCAGCCCCGCUCCCGCCGCGCCUCUCCUCAGGGAAGGGAGCGCCCCGUUCGCACCCCAGUUUCGCUAAUCUAGGAUUUUUACCUCUAAACGUUAUCGGUUUUAUUUAUUUAAUUAUUUAUUUACUUACUAAGCUUAAAGAGCAGCGAUCGGCCGCCUCAGGCUGCGCGCGGCUCCUCCGCACCAGCCCUGAGGCACCUGUCGGAGCUCGCCUGGCCGUGCCCGUGUUGUAUUUUCAGCAGAAAUUAUUCCCGCUCGCUCCUUAUUUGUGGGUUAAAUCGUGUUCCAGCGGUAGAGGUGGCUGUCGGAGGGAUCUUGUCAGGGUGACAGGCUGGCAGCCGAGGGGUGCCUCAGCGAGGCAGCGGCUGAGGGGCUCAGGGCUCCCUCACGACCAGCGGUGUAAGGCAGCAUCGCUCACUGUUAAAGCACUCUGAAUUACAGACACAUGCUGUAUAAACACCAUGGACUCCAACUAAUAUUACAAACUGACACUUCAGAAACAAACUCACGCUUGUCCCGUUCUAUUUUUUUCUCUACAAGAAUGUUUUCCUGUAUUACUCUACAUGGACCUGAUCUUGAAGAGGGGCAGAAAUUCCGCUUUGUGCCAAGUAAGGAGUUUCUUUUGUAUUAAAGGCUUUUCUCUAGGUCUGGAGUUACUCAGGGACAGCUCCACGUUUUGUGUUCAGUGAUGCUACUCUGCUGUAAAAGUGCCUUGCUCUCCUGUUUGGUUUGGCCCACUUUCAAAGUGUACUAAGCUAAAUGAGCACGGCAUCCAACUUUCAGAAGAGUGUCCUCAACUUGGAAAGAAGAGCUCCCCGUGUGGACAAAGCCACAGUCCUCUAGCAUCCCAGAGCUUCCCACGUCUACCCAAUGUAUUGACUUUAGUCUGCAAAGCCCUUCAUGCUUCACGUACCUCAUCACUUCCAGAUUAUCUUGACAUCUUAAGCUCAGAUUUCCCAGACUUUUGGUCUCUAUGAUAGAAGAUAGCAUUUGCUUACAAGAAUACUGCUAACAUUGCAACAGACAAUAGUUUAUAAUGGCACAGAACGUCCAGGAUACAGCACAACAAGCCCGAGGAAGCCCCCCUGCGUUAAGCAGAACCAGAUGCUGGACGGAGCGGCGCGGCUGUUCUCUUCCUGGGCACUGCAGGGCAGCGCAGCUUGCCGUGCCGACGAGGCACGUGUUGUGUGGUUCAGACAGAACAUGAAGCUGGAUGUGUAGAGCCUCCUUGUGCCUGGUGCGCAGACAAAACCGUACCUGUCCACCAAACUAAUCUGAGCUUCACUAAGGGAAAUGGCAGUGAUGCACACAUGGCAACUAACCGCCCAGGAGAGUCAGUAUAUAGAGGACUGAGAGCAGCUGAAAAUAGCUGAAAACAAGAAAAGAACAGAAGAGUUUGCCUUCGCUGGAUGUGCGAGGACUUGUCUGAGCGUUGUUCUCACCUUUCCCUGGUGGCUCUGAUGACUUCACUGCUGCUGCAGCUCGACAGCCGGCGCCUCGGUGCACUGGCAGGUGAUGUAGUGAUGUGUAGCAUGAUAUGGCAAAAAAAGGCAGAGAGGACUUGAAUUUGCUAAGUUUGAAACAGCAGAGAAUAGGCCAUGUUACCAGCAACUCGUGUUUUUCAGCACUUAAUUGCAUGCUAAAAGUAUUAUUCCUGCCUGAAUCAUACAAACUAAACUGGUGUAUUUUGGAGAUAACAACUGUGCCUGUACCUUGGGUACAGGACUUGGAAUUUCCAGUCCUCUGGUUUUGUUUUGAGAAGUUUUCAAUAUAAAUCUCAAAUAUAUAAAUCGUCUCAAGUCUUCUAACAUGCAAAUUUCUAGAAUAUAUUAAAAAUUAAUCACCUUAAGCAAGUGCUUAAUUUAAGCAUGACAUGUGAUUCGCUGAACAGACAUGACUAAGCCAACAUAUAGUUCGUUCUGUGGGACCAAAAUUUGUACCAGUGUGAUUCAUCAAUGAGUAAGAAUGAUGCUAUCUGGAGUUUUAAUCUAAGUGCAGAUUUGAAUAAUGACCUGGAUUUUUUUGGAGGAGCAGCUAGCUAAGCAAGAAAGGGAAAAGAAAAAAAAACACUAUAAAGAAUUCUGUGGUUGAUAUCACCACCUAUUUUCAGCUAUAUGAGUCAGUGAGCUAUCACAUGGAUUUGCACAGAAAUAUCAAAGCAAAUCCCACUUCAAACCCACACCACUUCCCAAUAUAUACCCUCACUCAUCGAUUGCAACAAACUGAGUUAACGUAUGUUUGUCUGAAAUAAAAGCAAGGAAGAGAUCAGAACUACAGCAACAAUUAACUACCUUAAAACAAAGACUUGUUUUGUGAAACUCCUAGGCUAACUUGUAGCUGAACUGAGAAAAAAUAUGCACUCAACAAAUUACAUUUGCUGAGAUCAAUAAGCAGAGUCUUUACAAUGUGUGCAGAGAUCGAGGGAGGCUGUUUUUUGGCAAAAUUGGAAAAAAAAAAAUUUCUAAAAAGACAUAGGUAGUAACUUGUCCAAAUAUUCUUUAAUAAUAAUGAUUGAAAGAGCUACAGCUGUCAUGGAAGAACCGAAAGCCAAGAUAUUUCUUCAAUAUUAUAAACGUCCUGGGAUAUAAAUAUGAGGUACCUCUGGAUACAGGAGAGAAGCAUCAUUUGUAAUGGUUUAUAUUUUGAAACAUAAAGCCAAUUACUGUGGUAGAGGAAAACAUAACUCAUGCUGUUAUAGAACACUUCUGCUAAAUCAUGUCCUCGUAGAAGCAGCUUUGACAGACUGUCAUUUUUCCAGACUAUUCUGUAACGUACAGUGAGUUGCUGCUAGAUGUGAAGCCCUCUGAAAAUUAAAAGAAAGAUUUAGGCAAUAUUUUUAAUGCUAUAAUCAGAACUGCAACAUUUACAAACAGGAAGAUGAAGAACCACUGUGUAUGGUAACUUUAUUUCUUUUGCUGGCAAAAAAUCCUGUGGAUUUUUCAGUCCUACCAUCGUCAGGCAUCCUACCUUUCCCUUACAGUUUAAAAACUCCCUAAAGAUGAUUAGGAUUUCCCACUACACAAACUAUAGUAACAGUACUGCAGGGGCACACUCCUGAACAAAGAUUUCAGGUUUCUGCCUCUGUAUCAGGACUCUGAAUACAAAAGUCAAUCACCAGUCGGGUGAUCACCUUGAUUACGUGCACUACUGCACAAAUCCUAUGUCUCUACAUCGCAUGCCUUCCCUAUAGCCUUAUAUUGUGUCCUAACGGGUUUCUGUGUUAAUGCUUUUCAGUCUGACAUCUAGUGUCAUAUCCUAGGAACUAUACCAGUUCCUAACAAAAAAGGUGGGCUAACGAAAUUGCAUCUCAUAAAUUGGAAAGCGCUGACAACUGCCUGACGUUAGGUGACCACAAGCUCCAGGUAUGGUACAAAUGACUUUGAGGUAUCUAGGGGAGAAACAGAUCCAUACUGGUGCUAUUCCACCACACACUGCUGAGACUGCUGCUGAAAUACUGCCUGUGACUGCUUACCUGGGCACCACGUGGCAGCCCAGUGAACAAGUGAGCAACCAAAGUGCUCAGCAGGAAGAAAAAGCAGGUCAGUGACAGUGGAGGAAGAAAUUCUUGUCCAAAUGAAGCAGCUUUUGUACAACGCCAUUGCAGCUUUCAUGGACUGUGCAAAUCCAGUAAGUCCUGGCUCAGAAGUAGAAGCAGGUAACGGCAGCAAGGGUCUUGGCUGAGGUGCUUGGGAGCAGGAAUAAAUUUAGCUCUGUUUACUUUGGAGAGGGGACUGUAGUUAUACCAUGUUUCUUUAGGAGAUGUUCUAGGAGAAAAUGUAAAGAAAAACUUCUCUAAUGUCACUGAAAAAUUGAACAGAUGCAGUUGUCUACAGGGAUUAAAUUAGAGUUUAUUCAGAUUUCAGACAAAAAGAUAAUGUGAAACCAGUUAAAAGCAGCUAUUUCUGAGAACGACAGAGAAGAGUAUCUUAGGCUGUUUGUUUACUUGAAAAUAAUGGGCUCUGAUACGUUUUUGCAGCAGUAACAUCAGUGGUUUUGAAAGAAAACUUGUUUUCUAGCUUGCUUUUUUUUCUGAGAAAUCUGAACUUCAAGACUUCUUACUCGUUCUCUGGAUCCAGAAACAAGCAGAAGAGAAUGCUGACUUCUGGUCAGGAGGCAUCUUUUUAGGGAGCCUGCUUUUUAGGGAGCUAAAAGAAACAAAUGCCAUUUACCAUCUAUCCUACCAUCCCAGCCUUUAAUGACCACCCCAGGAGAACGUCACUGCUGCAUGCUGGUUGCUCCAAACCUGCAGGAGGCAGAGGUUCCCGUUUAUACACCCGCAGCAGCUGCUGGUAUUUACAUUGCCCUGUGACUGCUCCCACCAACACACCCCAGAAGUGUGAGCAGCUCAAGCACGAGGCUCUGUUGCCACCCCUUUAAUUACCAGUCACCGAUCCUUUCAGAAAACAGGCUGAGUACAGGCAGAGGAAACAGCUGGUGGCUGCAGGACUAUGGGCAAUGGCCGGACAGCUGCCGGCUCUGCUGCUGCUGGCUGCCUCGCAGAAUGGAGCAUUUACUCUUCUAAAAGUCCUUCCCACCUCCAGGAUGUCUGUCUUCUGGAAGCUUUUUAGGAUCAAAAUCAACGAACCCAUUACACUUUCAUGUGGUGAAUAAACGUGUUUGCAUUGCUGCGGGUUCAGUUAACUUUGCAAUGCACUUCCUUCACUCAUCCUGUUUAAUCCAUUAUCUUAUUAGAUAUUUAAGCCACCCUUGUAACACAGCUAAUAAGAGAAUGGCAACGUCUUCAUGUUGAAACUAAUUAAUAGAAGUACAUCAUUCACAUCCUUUGGCUAGGUUUAAACUUCUUGCUUAACAAAGUACAAGCAAUCAUCAGAAUACACGCAUAGCUGCUUUCAGGCUUGUUAGAAGCUUUGCCUCUUUUGUGUUUAUGUAUUGCCUCACACGAAAUGAUCACUGCGAAGUAAAACCACUCAGGCCUCUGUUCCAGAAGACCACUGCGCAUUUGCUGUCAGACACCAUGCAUCAGCUCACAGAUUUGUCUGCCCAACCUUCAGCACACAGAGAAGAUUUUCCAAGACCGAGGCCCCAGUGAUGUGAUGGGAUGAGAUGGGAUGCGAUGUGCUUGUGCACCCUCUGCCAGGUGGGAUCGUCCGAGAGCUGCUCUGCUGGGAACCAGGAGCAGCAAAGAGAGCUGCGGCGGGGGGACAGGCGUGAUAACAUCUUGCCGUACACAUGCCGUAAUUAAUUUUAAUUUCCUUAAUUAAGUAUUUAGUCUUUGGGGAGGGAAUAUGUAGAAGUUGCUUCAUAAACUGACAAUGGGCGAUUGUUCUCCGUUCCUUAUCCUGGAGGCACGCAGGAUAAUGAGAGCUCUAUAAAUAUGCGGACAGAUUGAUUUGAUGGAGCAGACAGAAGUCCCCCGGCACAGGCUGCUCGGUGCUUUCAGAGUAACGGAGACCUCCCCGCUCUGCCCGGGCACGCCACCGCUCCCCCAUUUUGCAAGAAGUUAAACAGACUGGGUCUGAAUGCAGUUACUGGGGGACAAGCAGGACGAGACCGAAAUGAAAUAAAUACAGAAGAAAAUGGACAAAUGCUGCUGAAGUGCCACUGUCUGUUGUGGGCAAGGGCAGUGCAGUUCAAAAUCAAAAUUGGAGACAUUGGUAAUUCCAGAUUCAAGGGGAGAAUUUAACAACUUUAUAUCCACAAUUCAUUUUCCCUGCAUGUGUGGAAGAAAUCUUUGACUCCAACAGCCAUCCAGUGUAACGGCACGUACCUGUGCCAGGUCAAGAGGUGAUUCUCCGACAACGGCAGCUGGUUUGAUUUCUCUGACUUCUUGGUUCAAUGCGUGGAGGCUUCAUUUCAGCACUGAAUCUUCUCCACAAAGGCAAAUUUUGAAGAGUUAUGGCUUGGGUAGUUAAAGAAGUGGUUACUGAUUUAACCUCUGCCAGGAAAGUCAUCCCUCCAUCAAGCAUUAAAUCAACAGACAACAGAAGUUGGGGAAAUGAUGUUAUUAAAAUUCUAGCAUCAGAAUUCCCAAUACUUUCCCCCAACACGCAUAAAAAAUAAAAUGAUAUAAAUAUAAAAGAAAGCCAACAGAUGCAGUGUCAUAUGGACUUGCUUAAUGGCAAUGCUUAGCCUUUCAAAAAAAGAUUUACAUCUACAUUCACUACUAAAACUUGACAUUUGCAUUGAAUAAUUCAUAAUUUGUUGUUUGCUGCGCUUUGCUGCCUUUCUUAUGUGCAUGGCUCUAAGUAACAUCAUCUCUGCUGUUAGGGGAGGAGAUCAAUCCUUACACACGCAGAUAUUUUUGUUGUUGCUCUGUAAAGUGUAAAUAUGUAUUUGUCUGAACCGAUGUUAACAUUUCCUCAGCAAGAGCUCUGCCCGUGAUGGAAAGGCUCUGCACAGACUGAAUUCACUGCAUUGCUGCACUUUCAGCGAAUUCUCCCCCAACUCUUCCAAGUAUUUUAACAAUAAUCACAUGGAGCUUGGACGUGGUUCUGUGCCCACGCGUGUCGUGUUUCAGAGGAACUCCUGCCACCUGCCUCCUCCUACAGCUGCAGACGGGAUCGCUGCCAGGGCUCCUGCACCAAGCUACGGAGACUUUCACCCUUCUACAGCCCGUCACCUCUCUGGCCUGAGCACGGAAAGGAAAGGUGUUUGAAAGGCAUUUGAAGUUACGCCUGGAUUCAGGAUCCGCACAGAAAAAGUGGGUGCCAAAGCAGGAUCUAACAUGCAGUUUGAGUACAAUUUAUUGCCAUGUUGUUUCUAAGAGGAGCCUUGCAGAUUGUAGGGUUGCAAACACCACACUUGCACUGUCAUCUCCUAAAGCUUGUACAUUUUAAAACCUACUUUUCAUUCUAAAUCUUUAGGGUCUAUUUCAACUAUUCCUUCAUAACCAAGUUAGGAGCUUUAAAGGUUUGGGUAGCAUUGUUCUUUUCCUGACACUUCAUCUGUGAUUCUAAGAGAAGCAAACAGGGUGCUUUGGCUCACCGGCUGGCUCUCCUCCUCGUCUGUUGCUUCUUUCCUGUUGCUCAGGGAAAAGUUUCUGAGUUUAUUAACUCAGACUAAUUGAUCAAACAGCGCAACACCAGCAGACCCACUACCACAGCGCAUGCUGUAGUGUCUAAAAGCUAUCCUGCUUCUCUUCGGGUGAGUUCCUAGGAGUAAAUUCCUUUCUAAAACUUGCAGAGCAGCCUGGGGCAGUCCCUGCAGUUUUGCCCCCUCCACCCCCCUUUUUAUUUUAAUUAACUAAUUAACUUUUCCUCACCAGUGAGCACGUUUGCCUUCCACUGCUGGGGACAGAGCCCUGUUCUGUGUCCUGAUCUGAAGACUUGAAGGCUUCACCUGGUGAGCCAAUAGCCACACACUCAAAGUGUGAGCAUCUAAUGAGAAGUCUUUAAUUGGGCCUUUUUUUUUUUUUUUUUUUUUUAAAUUAAUUUAAUUUGUACUGCUUUUAGUUCAACUUCCAAGGCAUGCAAGGACUCCAACACCUGGUGCAUAAGGGCCCCAAACCUUCGUUAUGUUUUAAAAUGCAAACUAACAGGAAGGUUAUUGUGAUGUUAUCUGAAAUCCCAAAUGCCUCAGUUUUCCUGAUUUUAUUAACUUUGUGGUAAUGAAUUUCUGAAUACCUGAGUAAGAAGGAGCAGGCUAGAGAUGACUGAGUGCUGUCAGCAACUGAAACCACGAACACCUGUUCUGGGGCGGCAUCAACUGUAAUGGUGUAAGCGAGUUACUGCCAAGAUUUCUUUCCAAGGACUUUUAACUAUGGUUCAUUACGUUGUUUUUUUUUUUUUUUUUCCUCACCAGGUCUGCUGCUUGAAUCCCCCCCAAACAUCUACGCUUGUCACCUGCGCAGCAGCUUGUUUGGUUUUGCAGUGACUGGAGGUCUGCCUUACUCUGGGCUGAAACACAAAAAAGCUCUUGGAGACAUUUUGCAAAACCAGUAGCUGUUUUGGGGUUUGCAAUACCCCCCCCCCCCCCCCCUUAUUUUUUAUUUUUUUUCUCAUCAGUGAAUAUAAUGAUUCGUGUUUAUUUUCUCCUUUGGGCAACCUUCCUUCUCUCUCAUGUGGACAAGGAUUUUGUUCGAACCUCGUUGUCCCCAGGUCUUCUUCCCUUCUCCCCAGGUGCUUCCCCUCCACAGUCCCAAGGCAAGAAAAUCCCAUUACAAAUCCCACAGGCAAUGGAGCAGGCAGACCACUCGGGUACCUGUUUUUGAACACUGCAGUGACACCUUUGUGCCCAAGCAAAGUCAUUUCACUACACGGGGUUGGGUUUUUGAGUCUUGUUGGCCUGAAACUGCAAGGAUGUACAAGACUAAAUAAUGGAACUACCGAUUCUCCUUUUGGCCACAAUUAAACAAAAUAGAGAAAGUUUUACUUCUAUUUUUCAGGGGUAAAUAUUUCCUUUUUUUUUUUUUUUUUUUUUUUUUUUUUUUCUUCAGAAACAGAGAGGAGCUUCCACAACUGACUACAGGUAACGGCAAACCCUAAUACCUGUUAUUUUUAUGACUUUUUUAUUUUUAUUUUUUUCCCAAGGAAAAAUUCAGAGUGAACAGCAGCAAAUUAUUUUCCUGGAACUGAAAAAAGUGGUAUUUCUCCAGGAGUUACGAAUCACCUCUCUUUCAAGAAAGCCUAAAAUGAUGGUGACUUGGUGAGAUGGGAUCUUCUGGGGUAAGAUUAAACAGACUUUGCUGCACCUUUCUAUCCCAGAUCAUGCACAGACAGAUGUGAAUGUUUGCAUACUGUAGGUAAGUGUGAAGCAGGCAUAAUUGGUGUACAUUAUUUAUUUAUUUAUUUAUUUAUUUUGAGCUGGAAGCGUUUAUUUUUCCACGUUUUUAGGAUAUUGUUUCUUUGUAGCCUUAAUUUUGGUACCUGCCAUUUCCUUAGGGCAAGAACACUUAUUUUUCUUUGCUGCCUCUCCUGGUUACCGGGGUUAAGCAGCAGCCAGCGGGCACUGACAGCACGGGAGGACCUACCUGCACCGCUUCUGCCCCGCCGCACCUCAACGCGCAGGUGGCUGUAGGGGAGCCCUCCCUCUCCCCACUGACUUUACCCCCAGGAAGUAGACGAAAACCUUUCCCCUUUUCCAUGGCUUUUCUAGAAUCGAACUUUCCAGAAAGCACUCUUGUAUUUUUUUUUUUCUGUUCUGAAUGCAAACCCCUUAUCUCCUGUUGCAAUAGCAUUCAAUUACAGGCAAAUUCUUAUCUCACAGCAGGUAAAAGUGUGAGAGAUGGAAUCUCUCCAGAACGUGCUUUGUGGAGGCUGUUUGGAGCCAAAUCAACUCUCUGAUUUUUUAAAGCCACAACAAGAAUUUCUUUUGAGCAUCCACAGCCACCACAGAAACAUCAAACCCUGGCAGGGAGCGAAGUGAGCUAGGGAGGCCCAACUUGUUCCCAAGUGCAAAGCGAAUGCGAUGCGUUGCUGUUCCACUUCAGGGUGGUUUCCUCCACUCUGCCCACCUGCACGCAGCGCUGCGCGAGGCUGGCGGGACCUUUUGGGGACGUGUGCUCAUGCAGCGUGUUGCAGCAGCACGCUACAGGUUGCCAACAAACGGCUCCUGCUGACUCUGCACGAGCAGGACCACACGAAGCACACAAGUGACGGCUCCCCCCUCUGUGGCUGUUCACCUCCUGUCCCCGGCUGUGCAGUGUGUGCUUGGAGGAACCGCAGCAGCCGGCCGUGGGCAGCCACAGAAGGCUUUUUUGGAAGCCUGGAUGUGUUCUUCUGGAGCUCGUCUGCCCUAGGUUCGAAUCGAGCUUGCAGCGGAUUUUGAGCUAAAUUAUCUGUUUGCGUGGCUUGGGUUGUGUAAAUUUGCACCAAGCUGAAAGCAGCAGGGAGUUAACAGUGACACUUCCAGGCACCUCUGGCACGUGGACGCGGCGUUGCUCAGUUGGUGCCGGUACAAAGAGCAGAGCCAGGGAGCUGGAGGCCGUGCUACGGGGCGCUGGCGUUGGAGGUGGAUCAGAGCGUGCUGGUUUCAUGAGCAGUUUCCCCAGCCGUCAGCUUCCUCGACUUACCUGCCAGAGGCUGCCCAGGAUGCCACUGCAUUCGUGGAGGACACAAACUAAGGACAGGUGUGGACAAACAGCGGAGAAGCAGGCGGGCGUGGAGCAGGGACAACAUCGACGCUUCCAACAGAACAAACACGGCAACUCGUGACAGAAAGAUGCCAGCUACGCUACACAAAAGAAUCACUCCACAUGAGUCUG